rnacentral:rRNA from 1 species
GAUGAACGCUAGCUACAGGCUUAACACAUGCAAGUCGAGGGGCAUCAGGAAGAAAGCUUGCUUUCUUUGCUGGCGACCGGCGCACGGGUGAGUAACACGUAUCCAACCUGCCCUUUACUCGGGGAUAGCCUUUCGAAAGAAAGAUUAAUACCCGAUAGCAUAAUGAUUCCGCAUGGUUUCAUUAUUAAAGGAUUCCGGUAAAGGAUGGGGAUGCGUUCCAUUAGGUUGUUGGUGAGUAUAACAGACCCACCAAGCCGACGGAUCGGGUAGCCGGACUGAGACGGUUGAUCGGCCACAUUGGGACUGAGACCACGGCCCAG